AUGAUUAUGGUGAAGUGGUUUAAGCACUGGACUACGACUCUGGAGACCAGGGAUCAAUUCCCUGAUCGGUCAUA